rnacentral:rRNA from 1 species
UACGUAGGUGGCAAGCGUUGUCCGGAAUUAUUGGGCGUAAAGCGCGCGCAGGCGGUCCUUUAAGUCUGAUGUGAAAGCCCACGGCCCAACCGUGGAGGGUCAUUGGAAGCUGGGGGACUUGAGUGCAGAAGAGGAGAGUGGAAUUCCACGUGUAGCGGUGAAAUGCGUAGAGAUGUGGAGGAACACCAGUGGCGAAGGCGACUCUCUGGUCUGUAACUGACGCUGAGGCGCGAAAGCGUGGGGAGCAAACAGG